rnacentral:rRNA from 1 species
UCCAGACUCCUACGGGAGGCAGCAGUGGGGGAUAUUGCACAAUGGGGGGAACCCUGAUGCAGCGACGCCGCGUGGGUGAAGGAGUGCUUCGGCAUGUAAAGCCCUAUCGGCAGGGAAGAAGCAAGACGGUACCUGACUAAGAAGCCCCGGCUAACUACGUGCCAGCAGCCGCGGGAAUACGGAGGGGGCGAGCGUUAUCCGGAUUCACUGGGUGUAAAGGGGGCGCAGACGGCAGCUCAAGCCAGGAGUGAAAGCCCGGGGCCCAACCCCGGGCCUGCUCUUGGAACUGCGCGGCUGGAGUGCAGGAGGGGCAGGCGGAAUUCCUAGUGUAGCGGUGAAAUGCGUAGAUAUUAGGAGGAACACCGGCGGCGAAGGCGGCCUGCUGGACCGUAACUGACGUUGAGGCUCGAAAGCGUGGGUAGCAAACAGGAUUAGAUACCCUA